rnacentral:rRNA from 1 species
AACGAACGCUGGCGGCAUGCCUAACACAUGCAAGUCGAACGAGAUCUUCGGGUCUAGUGGCGCACGGGUGCGUAACGCGUGGGAAUCUGCCCUUUGGUUCGGAAUAACAGUUGGAAACGACUGCUAAUACCGGAUGAUGACGAAAGUCCAAAGAUUUAUCGCCAGAGGAUGAGCCCGCGUAGGAUUAGCUAGUUGGUGUGGUAAAGGCGCACCAAGGCGACGAUCCUUAGCUGGUCUGAGAGGAUGAUCAGCCACACUGGGACUGAGACACGGCCCAGACUCCUACGGGAGGCAGCAGUGGGGAAUAUUGGACAAUGGGCGAAAGCCUGAUCCAGCAAUGCCGCGUUAUUGAUCAAGGCCUUAGGGUUGUAAAGCUCGUUUACCCGGGAUGAUAAUGAUAGUACCGGGAGAAUAAGCUCCGGCUAACUCCGUGCCAGCAGCCGCCGUAA